rnacentral:tRNA from 1 species
GGGCCGUUAGCUCAAUUGGUAGAGCAGCAGACUUUUAAUCUGCGUUGUCUGGGUUCGAGCCCCAGGCGGCCCA